UACUAGCGCGUGGGAUUAGUGGAAAAAGGGCCAUCUUGGUGGUGACAAGUGUCCAUGGUGGAGACACUUGUCGCCACCGCCCCUAAGCCCACAGCGGAGACUUUAAAAUUACUAUCCCAAAGAAUUUAAAACAUUUCACAAAAAAAAAAUCUCUCUCUUCCUUUCUCAAAUACAGAACGCUCUGCAAUUUCUCACCUCUUUCUCCAUCCGUGCCCUACCGGAGAAGACGGUGGUUGCCGGCCGAUGGUGGCGGAGCCACCUUCUUCUCCGGCGAAACCUUAACCAAAACACAAAACCUACACAUUAACCCCCCCCCCCUAUUCUUUGCCAGGGAACACAAAUCCGGUCUUAAAUCUACCAAAACAAACCCCCUCCGACCGGAUCUACAACCAUCCAAGAAAGUAAAAGGUUAAAUUCCCCGACAGCACAAAACCUAAGUUCAAACUCCUUCUAAAUAUGAAACCAAAGUCGAAAUCAACGUAAAUACAAACCAAUCUUGAAAACCCUAGCUUUGGAAUUGAAUUAACGACAGCGGGCAUUUUAAAGCAAUUAGCAAGGGGAUUUUAAAAGGCUCGUCAAGGCGAGCAAGGCGAUGCGACGAGUCUAAGCAAAGAAAGAAAAGAAAAUAUACUUGAUCGGAGUCCAGUUACCGGCGACGCUUCCCCACUACGUUUGAGAUAAGUCCUCUUUUAAUUUUGAUUCCUCUUUGUCUUCUUCUUCUCUGUUCUUCUCUAUUAUUCUCUAUUCUUCUCCGUUUGCUAUUAAUUGUUGUGUUGGCCUGAGCUCAUCGACGUUAGAAUUUCAGCGUGAAACUCUAAUAUAGAUUUAAAAAAUCGUGAGCUUUUCUGAAAAAGUGUUCUUGGGAAUUUUUGCAGAAUAACGGUAGCCUCCUCUUCAAUGAUUGAACGCCUCCUCUUAUAGAUGGGGGUGUGUGGUCCUUUUUGUUGUGAGCUGGCAGGAAUUAAAGGAUCGUUCAGUUAGGAUUGAAUCCCUCUUAGAAUUGGUGAAUCUCUCCAAUUUGUUAGGAUUGAAUUUGUUUCUUUUGUCUGUAGUGAUUGAGAUUUUCGGAUCUUCUAAAUUUUGGUGGUCCCCAUUUUGUUACACUAUUAUCAUCUGGAUUUCAUUUUUUCUGUGUACUCUUGGACACCUCUCCUAGAAGAACAACGGGAAGGGACAGCGACCUCUUAAUCGAUGGAUGUAUUUGACCAUCACCGGGUUCCAACAUAUGAUUUUAAAGACGAAUGUGACUCUUCCUCCAUCCCUUUUCACUCAACAUGAAGCGUUUGUCGGCACGUGGUAAAACAAAUCGGAUUGCACGAAUCAAGACGACAUCUGGAAGCCCCUCCGAGCGUACAUGGAUGAGCCUCCUUAUCGGGAUACUCAUCUUGUCCUCUUUUUGCCUCAAAUUAUGUAAAUGCAGCAGAACGUGUACUGUAAUUAUGCACAUGGUCUAUGUACUUUAAACAUUUGUAAUGAAAUCCAGGAAUUGACUGAUGUUUAUGUGUUAAUAAAGAUAUAAACAUAGGCUCA